ACCGACCGUGAUAUUAUUUACAUUAGUAAAAAAAAGAUGCCGAGUUGUGUAGUGAAAUGGUGUAAAAAUAAUAAAACCCAAAAAGGGAAAAACGGUUUAACAUUUCACGGAUUUCCUAAAGGAAACAUCCCAUGGAGAGUAGAUUGGAUUAAGGUGAUAAGAAGCUCCAGAGGUGAAGAAAAUUGGUUACCACACGAAAGAAGUUUAAUAUGCAGCGCUCAUUUUGAUAAAAACGAUUUCUAUUUGACAAAAAAAGGCAAUUGUCGUUUAGUUACAUAUGCAGUUCCAAAAAAGCUAUUGUCUAAGCCACCUGACUAUAAAGAAAAACCUGCAAGGCGUAAACCGUCCAGACCUUCACGACAGUGUCAUGAUAAAUUGUCGUCAUCCGAAGCCUCUGUUUCACUUCGUACGUCGUCAUCUUUAUCACAUCCAACAUCGAUUAUGGAAACAAAAGCAUUUGAGUCUUUGCUUUGGUCAUCAUCUGACGCUUCGGAUUCAGAUGAGAUAUCGUAACCCGAAGCCCGUAUUUCACCUAGUACGACCUCAUCUUUACCACAACCACCAAUAAGUAUGGGACCAAUAGUUAUUGAUUCCUCGCCGUCAUCUUCAUCUGUAGUAUCAGAUUCUGAAGAGAUAUUGUCGUCUCAAGUAUCUUUUUCUCCGAACCCGGUCAUAUUAUUACCACAACCGUCUCCAAGCUAUGGAUUGUUACCAAGUGUAGCGUCCAAUGAUGUAGUCACAUAAACGUAAUUUGAGGAAAAUACUUAAAACGAAAGAAAUACGUAUUGAACAACAAAAUAAGAUUCUUAGGUCAUUAAGUCAGAAAUAUUCUCGUUUAAGAAAUCAGGUUCAGCAUUUAAAAAAGUAUGGAACUUUGCCCUAAAUGUGAAAGUUUACAAGAAUAUGUGUAUUAUUUAAUUGAUAUUUGCUUACUCAUGGAUAAGUAGAAGUUUUAAAUCCACUUGCGGGGUUUUUUAAGUUUAAUUUGAACUUUUUGGUUAUACAUGCAAU